UACGUAGGUCCCGAGCGUUGUCCGGAUUUAUUGGGCGUAAAGCGAGCGCAGGUGGUUUAUUAAGUCUGGUGUAAAAGGCAGUGGCUCAACCAUUGUAUGCAUUGGAAACUGGUAGACUUGAGUGCAGGAGAGGAGAGUGGAAUUCCAUGUGUAGCGAUGAAAUGCGUAGAUAUAUGGAGGAACACCGGUGGCGAAAGCGGCUCUCUGGCCUAUAACUGACACUGAGGCUCGAAAGCGUGGGGAGCAAACAGG
rnacentral:rRNA from 1 species